UAAAUAGAGGCGCAAAUAAAUGGGUAAUUUUUAAAUGAAAAGGAGAGGAACCUCCAAAGUUAAAAAUGAAGGGUUUAUUUGCCGAAAGAUAUCACAGGUUCUUAUGUGAUACCUUGGGAAUGAAGUUCAAAACUUCAUUCUUGCCAUGAUUAACGGACAUGGAGCGCUAUUU
rnacentral:ncRNA from 1 species